UACGUAGGGUGCGAGCGUUGUCCGGAUUUACUGGGCGUAAAGAGCGCGCAGGCGGUCGUUCAAGUCGAGUGUGAAAGCCCCCGGCUCAACUGGGGAGGGUCAUUCGAUACUGAUCGACUCGAAGGCAGGAGAGGGUAGUGGAAUUCCCGGUGUAGUGGUGAAAUGCGUAGAUAUCGGGAGGAACACCAGUGGCGAAGGCGACUACCUGGCCUGUUCUUGACGCUGAGGCGCGAAAGCUAGGGAAGCAAACGGGGAUUAAGAA
rnacentral:rRNA from 1 species